UAUUGUGGUCAUAUUUUGAGGUAGCAUAUCAAUUCAUAGCAUAGUUCCUGACAUUUUAUUAUAGGUAUAUUGAAUAAAUCCGAAGUCACAGUAGAGGAUUUUGGAUUGUCUACACAAGUUAUUUUGAGGAUAAAUUAAAACACUGUAAUUAAAAGGAUCUUUGUAAAUAUGCAAGUGUUAAACAAGUAUAAAGCAUUGUAAUCAUUUAAUUAAUAUAUGUGUAGAUGUAUGUACACAUAUAUACACGUGUGUGUCUGAACUAGAUGGAGCUCAAAAUCCAACCAAAGGAACAACUGAUAGCUGAUCAAAGAUUUUCAUCAACAAUAAAAAUAUUUUAUGCCUAAUAAAAAUCUCAUGGUGACUCCACACAUAUUGGAUAGAAGGGCCUUGUAUAAAGUCUACCAAUAAUCUCAGAAUAAUCUAGGAAGCAUCUGUUUCUGGGGAAGCCU
rnacentral:lncRNA from 1 species